rnacentral:rRNA from 1 species
AUACGGAGGGUGCAAGCGUUAUCCGGAAUCAUUGGGUUUAAAGGGUCCGUAGGCGGACUAUUAAGUCAGUGGUGAAAUCCCACAGCUCAACUGUGGAACUGCCUUUGAUGCUGGUAGUCUUGAGUUAUAUGGAAGUAGAUAGAAUGUGUAGUGUAGCGGUGAAAUGCAUAGAUAUUACACAGAAUACCGAUUGCGAAGGCAGUCUACUACGUAUAUACUGACGCUAAGGAACGAAAGCGUGGGGAGCGAACAGGAUUAGAAACCCUAGUAGUCC